AGACCCGAAACCCGGUGAUCUAGCCAUGGGCAGGUUGAAGGUUGGGUAACACUAACUGGAGGACCGAACCGACUAAUGUUGAAAAAUUAGCGGAUGACCUGUGGCUGGGGGUGAAAGGCCAAUCAAACCGGGAGAUAGCUGGUUCUCCCCGAAAGCUAUUUAGGUAGCGCCUCGUGAAUUCAUCUCCGGGGGUAGAGCACUGUUUCGGCUAGGGGGCCAUCCCGGCUUACCAACCCGAUGCAAACUGCGAAUACCGGAGAAUGUUAUCACGGGAGACACACGGCGGGUGCUAACGUCCGUCGUGAAGAGGGAAACAACCCAGACCGCCAGCUAAGGUCCCAAAGUCAUGGUUAAGUGGGAAACGAUGUGGGAAGGCCCAGACAGCCAGGAUGUUGGCUUAGAAGCAGCCAUCAUUUAAAGAAAGCGUAAUAGCUCACUGGUCGAGUCGGCCUGCGCGGAAGAUGUAACGGGGCUAAACCAUGCACCGAAGCUGCGGCAGCGACGCUUAUGCGUUGU
rnacentral:rRNA from 1 species